rnacentral:rRNA from 1 species
GCAAGUCGAGCGGCAGCACAAGGGAGUUUACUCAUGAGGUGGCGAGCGGCGGACGGGUGAGUAAUGCCUAGGGAUCUGCCCAGUCGAGGGGGAUAACAGUUGGAAACGACUGCUAAUACCGCAUACGCCCUACGGGGGAAAGAGGGGGACUUUCGGGCCUCUCGCGAUUGGAUGAACCUAGGUGGGAUUAGCUAGUUGGUGAGGUAAUGGCUCACCAAGGCGACGAUCCCUAGCUGUUCUGAGAGGAUGAUCAGCCACACUGGGACUGAGACACGGCCCAGACUCCUACGGGAGGCAGCAGUGGGGAAUAUUGCACAAUGGGGGAAACCCUGAUGCAGCCAUGCCGCGUGUGUGAAGAAGGCCUUCGGGUUGUAAAGCACUUUCAGUAGGGAGGAAAGGGUGAGUCUUAAUACGGCUUAUCUGUGACGUUACCUACAGAAGAAGGACCGGCUAACUCCGUGCCAGCAGCCGCGGUAAUACGGAGGGUCCGAGCGUUAAUCGGAAUUACUGGGCGUAAAGCGUGCGCAGGCGGUUUGUUAAGCGAGAUGUGAAAGCCCUGGGCUCAACCUAGGAAUAGCAUUUCGAACUGACAAACUAGAGUCUUGUAGAGGGGGGUAGAAUUCCAGGUGUAGCGGUGAAAUGCGUAGAGAUCUGGAGGAAUACCGGUGGCGAAGGCGGCCCCCUGGACAAAGACUGACGCUC